GUGUGUGUUUUUUUGGGCACACGGUGGAUGCCUUGGGCAUGGUAAGCCGAUGAAGGACGUGUGAGUCUGCGUUAAUCCUCGGGGAGUUGGCAACUGAGCGUUGAUCCGAGGGUGUCCGAAUGGGGUAACCUGGCCGUCUGUGUGGCGGUGACCUGGUGGUGAAUGUAUAGCCAUCAUGGGGGCUAGGCUGGGGAAGUGAAACAUCUUAGUACCUGGUGUGAGAAGAAAACAAUUGUGAUUCUGCUAGUAGCGGCGAGCGAACGUGGAUUGUGGCUAAACCGGCAUGCGUGUAUAACUGUUGAAGGGGUUGCGGUGUCGGUGUUGUGGGGGAUGCGUGUGUGGGUGCUUCAACUGCCUGCGUGCUGCGUGUGUGUGUAAGCGGAACUGGUGUGGAGUCGCCGACCGGAGUAGGUGAGAGUCCUGUACGUGAAUGCGUGUGCAUGUGGUUAGCGUGUUUUCCCGAGUAGCAGCGGGCUCGUGGAAUCUGCUGUGAAUCUGCCGGGACCACCCGGUAAGCCUUAUUACUUAUCAUGAACGAUAGUGGAUAGUACCGUGAGGGAAUGGUGAAAAGUACCCCGGGAGGGGAGUGAAAGAGUUCCUGAAACCGUGUGCUUGCAAGCCGUCAGAGCCUUGUUUGUGGGGUGAUGGCGUGCCUUUUGAAGAAUGAGCCUGCGAGUUAGCGGCAUGUUGCGAGGUUAACCUGUGUUGUGGGGUAGCCGUAGCGAAAGCGAGUCUUUGUGGGCGUUGUAGUAGCGUGUCCUAGACCCGAAGCGGGGUGAUCUACCCAUGGCCAGUGUGAAGCGAUGGUAAGACGUCGUGGAGGCGCGAACCCACUUAGGUUGAAAACUGAGGGGAUGAGUUGUGGGUAGGGGUGAAAGGCCAAUCAAACUCCGUGAUAGCUGGUUCUCCCCGAAAUGCAUUUAGGUGCAGCGUCGCAUGUGAGCACCCUGGAGGUAGAGCUACUGGUUGGUUGAGCGGGAUUUGUCGUCUUAGCAACAUCAGCCAAACUCCGAAUGCCGGUGGUGUGGUGUGUGGCAGUGAGACUGUGGGGGAUAAGCUCCAUUGGUCGAGAGGGAAACAGCCCAGAUCGUUGGUUAAGGCCCCUAAGGGUAUGCUGAGUGGAAAAGGAUGUGGGAUCGCUUGGACAGCCAGGAGGUUGGCUUAGAAGCAGCCAUCCUUGAAAGAGUGCGUAAUAGCUCACUGGUCGAGUGGUCCUGCGCCGACAAUGUAGUGGGGCUGAAGCAUACCGCCGAAACCGCGGCGAUGGUCGCAUCCUUUUGUGGGGUGUGGUUGUUGGGUAGGGGAGCGUCGUGUUCGCCGGUGAAGCAUCAUGGUGAUGUGGUGUGGAGGGGAUGCGAGUGAGAAUGCAGGCAUGAGUAACGUUUGUAAGGUGAGAAUCCUUACCGCCGUAUGACCAAGGGUUCCUGGGUGAAGUUCGUCUUCCCAGGGUGAGUCGGGUCCUAAGGCGAGGCCGACAGGCGUAGUCGAUGGUAAACGGGUUGAUAUUCCCGUACCUUCACGCAUGCGCCCAGUAGCGAAGCGGGGAUACUAACCUGCCCGCGCAUCAUGUUUUGUCAUGCUGCCAUCUUUUUAGGUGGUGGUGUGUUGUGGUGUGUGGUGUUGGGGGCCUGAUCCGUGGUAGUUAAGUGAUGGGGUGACGCAGUAGGGUAGCCACGCCGUGGAGUGGAUUGCACGGUGUAAGCGGUAAGGCGGGUCUGCUAGGUAAAUCCGGUGGGCUUUGAACGCUAAGCCGUGAUGCGUAGGCGCUUGUGUGGUGUUGAUGGUGGUGUGCUUGUGCUGUCGAGAAAAGCCUCUAGCGAGUGUGUGUGGAGCCCGUACCCGAAACCGACACUGGUGGUCGAGUAGAGGAUACUUAGGCGUUCGGGUGAACUGUAGUUAAGGAACUCGGCAAAUUGCCCCCGUACCUUCGGUAGAUGGGGGGCCACCCGUUGUGGGUGGUCGCAGUGACAAGAGGGAAGCGACUGUUUAUUAAAAACAUAGGUCYGUGCGAAGACGUGAAGUUGAUGUAUACGGACUGACGCCUGCCCGGUGCUGGAAGGUUAAGAGGACCUGUUAGAUGCUUUUUUGGGUGUCGAAGCGGAGAAUUUAAGCCCCAGUAAACGGCGGUGGUAACUAUAACCAUCCUAAGGUAGCGAAAUUCCUUGUCGGGUAAGUUCCGACCUGCACGAAUGGCGUAACGACUUCCCUGCUGUCUCAACUACAGGCCCGGUGAAAUUGCAGUACGAGUAAAGAUGCUCGUUACGCGCGGCAGGACGAAAAGACCCCGGGACCUUCACUAUAGCUUGGUAUUGGUGUCUGGUUCGGUUUGUGUAGUAUAGGUGGGAGACGUUGAGGCCAUAUCGCUAGGUGUGGUGGAGUCGUAAGGUGAAAUACCACUCUGAUCGGAUUGGCCAUCUUUUUAACCUUGGCCCAUGAUCUGGGUUGGGGACAGUGCCUGGUGGGUAGUUUAACUGGGGCGGUUGCCUCCUAAAUGGUAACGGAGGCGCCCAAAGGUUCCCUCGGCCUGGUUGGUAAUCAGGUUUUUGAGUGUAAGUGCAUAAGGGAGCUUGACUGUGAGAGGGACGUCUCGAGCAGGAACGAAAGUUGGGACUAGUGAUCCGGCAUCUACUUGUGGUUGUGGUGUCGCUCAACGGAUAAAAGGUACCCCGGGGAUAACAGGCUGAUCUUCCCCAAGAGUUCAUAUCGACGGGAUGGUUUGGCACCUCGAUGUCGGCUCGUCGCAUCCUGGGGCUGGAGCAGGUCCCAAGGGUUGGGCUGUUCGCCCAUUAAAGCGGCACGCGAGCUGGGUUUAGAACGUCGUGAGACAGUUCGGUCUCUAUCCGCCGCGCGCGUGGAAACUUGAUGGAAGGCUGUCCCUAGUACGAGAGGACCGGGACGGACGUACCUCUGGUGUGCCAGUUGUUGUGCCUGCGGCAUGGCUGGUUGGCUACGUACGGUGUGGAUAACCGCUGAAAGCAUCUAAGCGGGAAGCUUGUUUCAAGAUGAGGUUUCUGUAUCAGGGCCCCUGRAGAUGACGGGGUUGAUAGGCCAGUGUUGUAAGCAUUGUGAGGUGUUGAGGCGACUGGUACUAAUAGCCCGACUCAUACACAUGG
rfam:Corynebacterium atypicum strain R2070, complete genome.